GACGAAUGCUGGCGGCGUGCUUAACACAUGCAAGUCGAACGGAAAGGCCCUGCUUGCAGGGUACUCGAGUGGCGAACGGGUGAGUAACACGUGGGUGAUCUGCCCUGCACUUCGGGAUAAGCCUGGGAAACUGGGUCUAAUACCGGAUAGGAGCCAUUUUUAGUGUGAUGGUUGGAAAGUUUUUUCGGUGUAGGAUGAGCUCGCGGCCUAUCAGCUUGUUGGUGGGGUAAUGGCCUACCAAGGCGGCGACGGGUAGCCGGCCUGAGAGGGUGGACGGCCACAUUGGGACUGAGAUACGGCCCAGACUCCUACGGGAGGCAGCAGUGGGGAAUAUUGGACAAUGGGCGCAAGCCUGAUGCAGCGACGCCGCGUGGGGGAUGACGGCCUUCGGGUUGUAAACUCCUUUCGCUAGGGACGAAGCUUUUGUGACGGUACCUAGAUAAGAAGCACCGGCUAACUACGUG
rnacentral:rRNA from 1 species